rnacentral:rRNA from 1 species
UACGGAGGGGCGAGCGUUAUUCGGAAUUACUGGGCGUAAAGGGUUCGUAGGUGGCCAACUAAGUCAGACGUGAAAUCCCUCAGCUUAACUGGGGAACUGCGUCUGAUACUGGUUGGCUUGAGUGCAGGAGAGGAACGCGGAAUUCCAGGUGUAGCGGUGAAAUGCGUAGAUAUCUGGAGGAACACCGGUGGCGAAGGCGGCGUUCUGGACUGUUACUGACACUGAGGAACGAAAGCCAGGGAGCAAACGGG